rnacentral:tmRNA from 1 species
GGGAGCGAAAGGAUUUCGACGGGGAUCUUGAGAUCCGAUAAGCGAGCAGAGGCGGGGAACCUCUUUAAAAGCUCCAAUUGUUAUAAAAUAAAUAACAACAAUAGCACUGUUUUAGCUGCCGCCUAAGGGCCGCAGCCGUCUUGCCCGGGAGUACCGCGGCCCGGGGUCAAGGCGUCGAUCAGCGGUGAACGUGCACGAUCGAUACCUCAUACUUCGUCACGCACAAUGAGGCUGGUUUGACCCGAAGCGUGUUCCUUCGCGCCGGGGAGAACGAGAUCUAAACAAGGAACUACGCUCGUAGAAAGUCGGGAGGAUGGGUUUUCGGACAGGGGUUCGACUCCCCUCGCUUCCACCA